GAUGAAGAACGUAGCGAAAUGCGAUAACUAAUGUGAAUUGCAGAAUUCAGUGAAUCAUCGAGUCUUUGAACACACAUUGCGCCCCCUGGUAUUCCGGGGGGCAUGCCUGUCCGAGCGUCAUUGCUGCCCUCAAGCACGGCUUGUGUGUUGGGCUCCGUCCCCCCGGGGACGGGCCCGAAAGGCAGCGGCGGCACCGAGUCCGGUCCUCGAGCGUAUGGGGCUUUGUCACCCGCUCUGUAGGCCCGGCCGGCGCCAGCCGACAACCCAUCAUCCUUUUCAGGUUGACCUCGGAUCAGGUAGGGAUACCCGCUGAACUUAAGCAUAUCAAUAAGCGGAGGA
rnacentral:misc_RNA from 1 species